rnacentral:rRNA from 1 species
AUUGAACGCUGGCGGCAGGCUUAACACAUGCAAGUCGAGCGGAGAUGAGGUGCUUGCACCUUAUCUUAGCGGCGGACGGGUGAGUAAUGCUUAGGAAUCUGCCUAUUAGUGGGGGACAACAUUCCGAAAGGAAUGCUAAUACCGCAUACGUCCUACGGGAGAAAGCAGGGGAUCUUCGGACCUUGCGCUAAUAGAUGAGCCUAAGUCGGAUUAGCUAGUUGGUGGGGUAAAGGCCUACUAAGGCGACGAUCUGUAGCGGGUCUGAGAGGAUGAUCCGCCACACUGGGACUGAGACACGGCCCAGACUCCUACGGGAGGCAGCAGUGGGGAAUAUUGGACAAUGGGGGGAACCCUGAUCCAGCCAUGCCGCGUGUGUGAAGAAGGCCUUAUGGUUGUAAAGCACUUUAAGCGAGGAGGAGGCUACUGAGACUAAUACUCUUGGAUAGUGGACGUGACUCGCAGAAUAAGCACCGGCUAACUCUGUGCCAGCCGCCGCAGUAACAC